AGUGAACGCUGGCGGUAGGCCUAACACAUGCAAGUCGAACGGCAGCACAGUAAAAGCUUGCUCUUACGGGUGGCGAGUGGUGGACGGGUGAGGAAUACAGCGGAAUCUACUUUAUCGUGGGGGAUAACGUAGGGAAACAUACGCUAAUACCGCAUACGACCAACGGGUGAAACAAGGAGAUCUUAGGACAUUGCGCGAAUGAAUGCGCCGAUGUCGGAUUAGCUAGUUGGCGGGGAAAAGGCCCACCAAGGCGACGAUCCGUAACUCGCCUGAGAGGAUGAACAGCCACACUGGAACUGAGACACGGUCCUGACUCCGACGGGGGGAAGCAGUGGGGAAUAUUGGACAAGGGGCGCAAGCCUGAUCCAGCCAUACCGCGUGAGUGAAGAAGGCCUUCGGGUUGUAAAGCCCUUUUGUUAUGAAAGAAAAGCAGCAGUGUAAUACCCCGAUGUUCUGACGGUACCCAAAGAAUAAGCACCGGCUAACUUCGUG
rnacentral:rRNA from 1 species